UACGUAGGGUGCAAGCGUUAAUCGGAAUUACUGGGCGUAAAGCGUGCGCAGGCGGUUAUGUAAGACAGUUGUGAAAGCCCCGGGCUCAACCUGGGAAUUGCGAUGAAGACUGCAAGGCUUGAAUCUGGCAGAGGGGGGUAGAAUUCCACGUGUAGCAGUGAAAUGCGUAGAGAUGUGGAGGAACACCGAUGGCGAAGGCAGCCCCCUGGGUCAAGAUUGACGCUCAUGCACGAAAGCGUGGGGAGCAAACAGG
rnacentral:rRNA from 1 species